GUUGUCACUCUGCAGGCUGUGACCCCCACAGGAAGCUGCCUGCAAACUCAGGUAGCUUUUCUGGUUCUUAAAGAGGUCUUGAACAUUCUUGCAGAGAAACGCCAACCAAAAGUGUAGUCAUCCGGGAAGAGAAGAGCCGGAGAGAAAAAAAAAUAACACUUGGACUGGCACCAGAAGGAAGAGGCCAUGAAACUUGAAAACUUUGCCUGGGAUGACUCCUUUAUUGAAGCUUUUCACGAUCCUGAGGGGAAGACCCAGGGAAGCUGCACCUGGGACUGCUGCCCAUGGAAUCUGAGCUCAGAAGAGUCACUGCAAGAUUUUGUUACUCUAUGUCAGCAUCAUUAACAUCUACACCAAUGAAGAUGUGGCUUCAGAUCUGUGGAUGCAAACCACUGCUUUUUUCUGCCUUAAAGAGUGAUAGAAAGCUAGCCACUGGGUGUUGUCCAUGUACUGCAGGGAGAAGCAGACGGAGCUGCCUGGUGCCCGUGGAGCUCAGAGCAUCCACAAAUCUGGCACCAUUCUUUGACGCCAAGUCUCCCGAAAAUCACCGUGGAUUACCAGAGGAAGCAGCAACUGAAGGAAGAAGAGAUUACUUUGGUCACAGUCUGAGGGGGUGUGACCCAUCAUGAUGGAGAAGAGAGCAGAACUUGAAGGUAAGAUCUUAUGGCUGAAGACACCACAUUCAAAUGCAAGACUUGGAUCUAAACUGGAACUGACCGGGAAACCUCCUCUCCUGAAUACUGUCUCUUACAGUACCAGAAACGUCUAUGCAAUCUUCCAAUGGAGAAAAGCAAUUAAAAGUCCUACCUGGAUGUAAAUCCAACAAACCACAGCAUGGCAUAAUGUACCUAAGUGUGCAAUAGUGGCACUUCCAUCUUGACUUAACCAACACCCAUCUAACUGGACUUUAGAUCUACUUAUAAUAGAAGAGAAUUUAUAGCUGUUUCUGUAAGCCUAUGGUUGGUGAGGUCAUGGGCUCUAGAGGAGGACUACUGUUCCAUAUUCCUAUAAACCAGUGUAACUCCCAAGUACAUUCUAAAUGCCUAUACGUACACCCUAGAUAAGUUAAGCACUCACCCAUCACCAAAGGAGCUUCCCCUUGCUGCAGUCAGAGACCAGUACAGAAAUCCGCAACUGGCCAGACUGAAGAGAACAGCUGACUAUGGAUGGGGUGCCCAUCCCUCACUGAUAUGUCUACAACAAAGCCCUUACACCUGAGCGUCAGAGAAUAUUGUGGAAGAUGGGACGGAACGACUGUAUGAGCUAGAGGACCAAGAUACCCGCUGUGAGAUAGUGCCUUCUAGAUGACAAGGGGACUGCAUUUAUCUAACAAUCUAAACAAUACAGUCACAUAAAGAUCUAUAUGAUGACCAUAAAUAUCAGGUGACAACUCAACAUAUGGGGGAAAUUCCUAUAAGUCCUAGAAGAAGAGCUACAGGCAAUCAAUAGCUGCUCUGAGGAAGAGAAUCAAUUUUUUCCCUGGGAAUUGGCCCCUUUAUAAGUUAUCCACUCCUAAUUGGUCAUCCCUAAACACAUAUAUACAUAUGAACAACACCAAAUGGAUUCAUCAAGUUAUGUUGUGUGUAGCUUUUGCUACCCUGACUAAGCUUCGCGAAUGGGCAGCAAUUACUAGGCCCUACCUAGCUUCCCUUGAAACCACAGAUAAGAAACACACACAAACACACACACACACACACACUUGUUUAUUUUUCAACUUGCCUUCUUGGCACAAUUGCUGGGCAUUAUUAAACUCCCAAGGCUAGCAGGCCUUAUCAAUAUUCACAUCUCCACACCUUAAACUUUAAUUGCUCAGUUACAGUUAGUCCCUGCUAAACAUCCCCAACCAACCAGAGAUCUCACAUGGCUGGUCAACUUUUCUCCCUCAGAAGGAUUGCAAGCUUCUCUCCUCCUUUCUGUCCGUCUUCUUGCCUCCAGGGACCUAAAAGUCUCAUGUGUUCCUUCCCUUCAGCAAUUGGCCCAUGGCUUCUUUACUGACAGAUCAAGAACCAAUUGGGGAACAGGACCUUAUCAUUAGAACCACCCUACAAAGUUAAAUACAUACAUACAUAUAUAGGAAUAGUAAGUAGAGAGGAAGAGAUUACGAAGUUGGGAAGGAGUUGGGAAAGACAUUGAGGGGAAUUGGGGUGGGGAAUGUGAGGAAGGGAUGGUGUAAAUAUUGUGCUCAAGUAUUAAAUUCUCAAAUAAUAAUAAAACAAAUGUCUCUUAAUCCUAUAAACUAUCUUAUAGUUCUACAGUCUAGGAGCCUGAACCAUGAUCCCUCCAGAAUAAAAACACUGUAUCAGUA